rnacentral:rRNA from 1 species
UACAGAGGGGGCAAGCGUUAUUCGGAAUUAUUGGGCGUAAAGGGCGCGUAGGCGGCUUCGCAAGUGGAAGGUGAAAUCCCUCGGCUUAACCGAGGAACUGCCUGCCAGACUGCAUUGCUUGAGUCCGGGAGAGGUGAGUGGAAUUCCCAGUGUAGCGGUGAAAUGCGUAGAUAUUGGGAGGAACACCAGUGGCGAAGGCGGCUCACUGGACCGGAACUGACGCUGAGGCGCGAAAGCGUGGGGAGCGAACAGG